rnacentral:rRNA from 1 species
AACGGGGGUCGAGCCUGCCCGGUGAGGUGCGCCUUAAACGGCCGCGGUAAUAGUGCAAACGUAGCUGAAUUUCCUUGCCCGUUAAUUGCGGGCUAUGUGAAUGGCGUGACGAGGGUCCCACUGUCUCGGUGUGGGUGUAGAUGAAAAUGGAGUGCCAGGGAAAGUACUGGCAUGAUACAGAGGGAAGAGAAGACCCCGUGGAACUGAGUGUUAGUCGGCUAGGAGCUGAGGGCCAAGAGCGAGUGAGCGGCCUAGAGGGUUCCGGCAGCCGGUAGGCACCUUGGCUGGGGCAGCCAGGUGAGCAGAGGAUAUCACCUUUAGCCGAGAAAAGGCCUGCUUGCUAUUACGAUCCGUCAGAGAUGACACAGGGAAAUAGUUACCCCGGGGGUAACAGACUGAUCCGCCUUGCGAGUCCUUAUCACUAGGCGGGUUUGGCACCUCGAUGCUGGCUCGGGAUACCCUGGGCGCGCA